rnacentral:rRNA from 1 species
GAUGAACGCUGGCGGCGUGCCUAAUACAUGCCAGUCGAGCGAACAGACGAGGAGCUUGCUCCUCUGACGUUAGCGGUGGACGGGUGAGUAACACGUGGAUAACCUACCUAUAAGACUGGGAUAACUUCGGGAAACCGGAGCUAAUACCGGAUAACAUGUUGAACCGCAUGGUUCAACAGUGAAAGACGGUCUUGCUGUCACUUAUAGAUGGAUCCGCGCCGCAUUAGCUAGUUGGUAAGGUAACGGCUUACCAAGGCAACGAUGCGUAGCCGACCUGAGAGGGUGAUCGGCCACACUGGAACUGAGACACGGUCCAGACUCCUACGGGAGGCAGCAGUAGGGAAUCUUCCGCAAUGGGCGAAAGCCUGACGGAGCAACGCCGCGUGAGUGAAGAAGGUCUUCGGAUCGUAAAACUCUGUUAUUAGGGAAGAACAAAUGUGUAAGUAACUAUGCACGUCUUGACGGUACCUAAUCAGAAAGCCACGGCUAACUACGUG